GAACAUCAGAGUCCGGGCCCUUGUCACCCCUGGCUACUUCAGGGACCCACGCAGUGACGUGCCCGAGCCUGUUGCUGGCCCAAGCAAGGGCUCUCCUUCCUCACUUCAUGCCCUGGAGG